rnacentral:misc_RNA from 1 species
AAGUCGUAACAAGGUCUCCGUUGGUGAACUAGCGGAGGGAUUAUUACUAAGUACUAUAACUUAUAACCCUUUGUGAACCUUUAUACCUAUUACUUCGGCGGCGCGCCUCUUGGGGCGUGCCCGCUAGUAUUAUUAGAAUCUCUAUUUAAACCCGACGAUACUUCUAAGUAUUCUAAGCGAACUAUUAAAACUUUUAAUAACGGAUCUCUUAGCUCUA